GACGAACGCUGGCGGCGUGCCUAAUACAUGCAAGUAGAACGCACAGUUUAUACCGUAGCUUGCUACACCAUAAACUGUGAGUUGCGAACGGGUGAGUAACGCGUAGGUAACCUGCCUGGUAGCGGGGGAUAACUAUUGGAAACGAUAGCUAAUACCGCAUAAUAUUGAUUAUUGCAUGAUAAUUGAUUGAAAGCUGCUAUUGCAUCACUACCAGAUGGACCUGCGUUGUAUUAGCUAGUAGGUGAGGUAACGGCUCACCUAGGCGACGAUACAUAGCCGACCUGAGAGGGUGAUCGGCCACACUGGGACUGAGACACGGCCCAGACUCCUACGGGAGGCAGCAGUAGGGAAUCUUCGGCAAUGGACGAAAGUCUGACCGAGCAACGCCGCGUGAGUGAAGAAGGUUUUCGGAUCGUAAAGCUCUGUUGUAAGAGAAGAACGGGUGUGAGAGUGGAAAGUUCACACUGUGACGGUAUCUUACCAGAAAGGGACCGCUAACUACGUG
rnacentral:rRNA from 1 species